UACGGAAGGCAGCAGUGGGGAAUAUUGCACAAUGGGCGCAAGCCUGAUGCAGCCAUGCCGCGUGUAUGAAGAAGGCCUUCGGGUUGUAAAGUACUUUCAGUCGUGAGGAAGGUGUUAAGGUUAAUAACCUUAGCAAUUGACGUUAGCGACAGAAGAAGCACCGGCUAACUCCGUGCCAGCAGCCGCGGUAAUACGGAGGGUGCGAGCGUUAAUCGGAAUUACUGGGCGUAAAGGGCACGCAGGCGGUUAAUUAAGUUGGAUGUGAAAUCCCCGGGCUUAACCUGGGAAUGGCAUUCAAGACUGGUUAGCUAGAGUCUUGUAGAGGGGGUAGAAUUCCAUGUGUAGCGGUGAAAUGCGUAGAGAUGUGGAGGAAUACCGGUGGCGAAGGCGGCCCCUGGCAAAGACUGACGCUCAUGUGCGAAAGCGUGGGGAGCAAACGAGGGAU
rnacentral:rRNA from 1 species